rnacentral:lncRNA from 1 species
AUCACUUUACAGGUAAAGGCUUCUUCCACUGCCUACAUGAGUUUAGUGGAACGGUAACUCAACGCGUCCUAUGAAAUUCACAGAUACAGUUACGCUUCUUUUCAAUGUUCUUAAAAAAAAAGAUGCCAGUUCUUUCACGUCAGCUUCCCCAUCCAAUGUUUUAUGCCACAUCCUCAUCCUCGGGAGCAGCAGUGGUUUCUUCACUCUCCUCCUCCUCCUCACCUUCUGCUGGCUGCUGCUCUUCGUCCUCGGGCAGCGAUUCCCCCGCGGGCUGCCAAACCUCCUCCUCCUCCUCCUCCUCUUCCCCCCCUCUGCUCCCUGCGCCCGGCUCCACCUCUUGUGCUUCUGCCUGGGCCUCAGUUUCUCUCUCUGUCCCCUUUUCUUCCUCCUCCUCAUUUUCAUUUCCUUCUGGGUUCUCCUUGGGAUCGUUGCUUUCAUCCCGCAGAUUUCCUUCCUCUUUGUUUUCAUCGUCUAACAUUUCGUCCCCUUUGUUCUCAUUGUCUAAAUUCCCUUCCUCCUUGUUCUCGUCGCCCACGUUUUCCUCCUUGUUCUCAUCGUCCGCAUUCUCUUCUUCCAGAUUCUCCUCCUCGUCCUUGUUUUCGUCUCCUCCUUCCGCUGUCCCUUCCUCCACGUUCCCAGCCACUCCCCCUUCUCCCUCCUCGUGCUCCUCUUUUUCUUCGGGGUCAUCCGUGAAAGGAUUCUCACCCUUCAGGUACCGCUCCAGUUUCUU